AAAACCUCCCAAUAAUAAACCUUUUGUAGUUUCCUGCUUGUAGUACUAGAGCAAGUUCUGCAAGUUCAAAUAAUCAAA